rnacentral:rRNA from 1 species
GAUGAACGCUGGCGGCGUGCCUAAUACAUGCAAGUCGAGCGAACGGACGAGAAGCUUGCUUCUCUGAUGUUAGCGGCGGACGGGUGAGUAACACGUGGAUAACCUACCUAUAAGACUGGGAUAACUUCGGGAAGCCGUAGCUAAUACCGGAUAAUAUUUUGAACCGCAUGGUUCAAAAGUGAAAGACGGUCUUGCUGUCACUUAUAGAUGGAUCCGCGCUGCAUUAGCUAGUUGGUAAGGUAACGGCUUACCAAGGCAACGAUGCAUAGCCGACCUGAGAGGGGAAUCGGCAAACAAGGAACUGAGACACGGUCCAAACGCCCAGGGGGGGCACCGGUAGGGAAUUUGCCGGAAGGGGCGAAAGCCUAACGGGGCAACGCGGGGUGAGAGAGGAAGGUUUUCGGAGCGUAAAACUCUGUUAUUGGGGAAGAACAAAUUUGUAAGUAAGUUGGCACAUUUUGGCGGUACUGAAUCAAAAAGCCACGGUUAACUACGG